rnacentral:rRNA from 1 species
CUAUACAUGCAAGUCGAGCGAACUGAUUAGAAGCUUGCUUCUAUGACGUUAGCGGCGGACGGGUGAGUAACACGUGGGCAACCUGCCUGUAAGACUGGGAUAACUUCGGGAAACCGAAGCUAAUACCGGAUAGGAUCUUCUCCUUCAUGGGAGAUGAUUGAAAGAUGGUUUCGGCUAUCACUUACAGAUGGGCCCGCGGUGCAUUAGCUAGUUGGUGAGGUAACGGCUCACCAAGGCAACGAUGCAUAGCCGACCUGAGAGGGUGAUCGGCCACACUGGGACUGAGACACGGCCCAGACUCCUACGGGAGGCAGCAGUAGGGAAUCUUCCGCAAUGGACGAAAGUCUGACGGAGCAACGCCGCGUGAGUGAUGAAGGCUUUCGGGUCGUAAAACUCUGUUGUUAGGGAAGAACAAGUACGAGAGUAACUGCUCGUACCUUGACGGUACCUAACCAGAAAGCCACGGCUAACUACGUGCCAGCAGCGGCGGGUAAUAA